rnacentral:rRNA from 1 species
UACCAGCACCCCGAGUGGUCGGGACGAUUAUUGGGCCUAAAGCAUCCGUAGCCGGUCCUGCAAGUCUUCCGUUAAAUCCAACUGCUCAACAGAUGGGCUGCGGGGGAUACUACAGGGCUAGGAGGCGGGAGAGGCAAGCGGUACUUUAUGGGUAGGGGUAAAAUCCGUUGAUCCAUAGAAGACCACCAGUGGCGAAGGCGGCUUGCCAGAACGCGCUCGACGGUGAGGGAUGAAAGCUGGGGGGAGCAAACCGGG